rnacentral:rRNA from 1 species
AUUGUUCGCUGGCGGCAGGCCUAACACAUGCAAGUCGAGCGGUAGAGAGAAGCUUGCUUCUCUUGAGAGCGGCGGACGGGUGAGUAAUGCCUAGGAAUCUGCCUGGUAGUGGGGGAUAACGUUCGGAAACGGACGCUAAUACCGCAUACGUCCUACGGGAGAAAGCAGGGGACCCUCGGGCCUUGCGCUAUCAGAUGAGCCUAGGUCGGAUUAGCUAGUUGGUGAGGUAAUGGCUCACCAAGGCGACGAUCCGUAACUGGUCUGAGAGGAUGAUCAGUCACACUGGAACUGAGACACGGUCCAGACUCCUACGGGAGGCAGCAGUGGGGAAUAUUGGACAAUGGGCGAAAGCCUGAUCCAGCCAUGCCGCGUGUGUGAAGAAGGUCUUCGGAUUGUAAAGCACUUUAAGUUGGGAGGAAGGGCAGUAAAUUAAUACUUUGCUGUUUUGACGUUACCGACAGAAUAAGCACCGGCUAACUCUGUGCCAGCAGCCGCGGUAAUACAGAGGGCGCAAGCGUUAAUCGGAAUUACUGGGCGUAAAGCGCGCGUAGGUGGUUUGUUUAGUUGGAUGUGAAAUCCCGGGCUCAACCUUGGGAACUGCUUUCAAAACUGACUGAACUAAGUAUGGUAGAGGGGGGGGGAAUUUUCCUGGGAACCGGGGAAAUGCGUAAAAUUUAGGAAGGAACCCCCGGGGCGAAGGCGACCCCCUGGACUAAUACUGGAACUGAAGGGGCAAAAGCGUGGGGAACAAACCGGAUUAGAUACCUGGUAGUCCACGCCGUAAACGAUGUCAAUUAGCCCUUGGAAGCCUUGAGCUUUUAGUGGCGCAGCUAACGCAUUAAGUUGACCGCCUGGGGAGUACGGCCGCAAGGUUAAAACUCAAAUGAAUUGACGGGGGCCCGCACAAGCGGUGGAGCAUGUGGUUUAAUUCGAAGCAACGCGAAGAACCUUACCAGGCCUUGACAUCCAAUGAACUUUCUAGAGAUAGAUUGGUGCCUUCGGGAACAUUGAGACAGGUGCUGCAUGGCUGUCGUCAGCUCGUGUCGUGAGAUGUUGGGUUAAGUCCCGUAACGAGCGCAACCCUUGUCCUUAGUUACCAGCACGUCAUGGUGGGCACUCUAAGGAGACUGCCGGUGACAAACCGGAGGAAGGUGGGGAUGACGUCAAGUCAUCAUGGCCCUUACGGCCUGGGCUACACACGUGCUACAAUGGUCGGUACAGAGGGUUGCCAAGCCGCGAGGUGGAGCUAAUCCCACAAAACCGAUCGUAGUCCGGAUCGCAGUCUGCAACUCGACUGCGUGAAGUCGGAAUCGCUAGUAAUCGCGAAUAAGAAUGUCGCGGUGAAUACGUUCCCGGGCCU